UGGGGAAUAUUGGACAAUGGGCGAAAGCCUGAUCCAGCCAUGCCGCGUGUGUGAAGAAGGUCUUCGGAUUGUAAAGCACUUUAAGUUGGGAGGAAGGGCAGUAAAUUAAUACUUUGCUGUUUUGACGUUACCGACAGAAUAAGCACCGGCUAACUCUGUGCCAGCAGCCGCGGUAAUACAGAGGGUGCAAGCGUUAAUCGGAAUUACUGGGCGUAAAGCGCGCGUAGGUGAUUCGUUAAGUUGGAUGUGAAAUCCCCGGGCUCAACCUGGGAACUGCAUUCAAAACUGACGAGCUAGAGUAUGGUAGAGGGUGGUGGAAUUUCCUGUGUAGCGUGAAAUGCGUAGAUAUAGGAAGGAACACCAGUGGCGAAGGCGACCACCUGGACUGAUACUGACACUGAGGUGCGAAAAGCGUGGGGAGCAAAACAGGAUUAGAUACCCUGGUAGUCCACGCCGUAAAACGAUGUCAACUAGCCGUUGGGAGCCUUGAGCUCUUAGUGGCGCAGCUAACGCAUUAAGUUGACCGCCUGGGGAGUACGGCCGCAAGGUUAAAAC
rnacentral:rRNA from 1 species